rnacentral:rRNA from 1 species
CACGUAGGGCGCAAGCGUUGUCCGGAAUUAUUGGGCGUAAAGAGCUCGUAGGCGGUCUGUUGCGUCUGCUGUGAAAACCCGGGGCUUAACCCCUGGCUUGCAGUCGAUACGGGCAAACUAGAGUGUGGUAGGGGAGACUGGAAUUCCUGGUGUAGCGGUGAAAUGCGCAGAUAUCAGGAGGAACACCGGUGGCGAAGGCGGGUCUCUGGGCCAAAACUGACGCUGAGGAGCGAAAGCGUGGGGAGCGAACAGG